rnacentral:tRNA from 1 species
CGGUGGAACAGCUCGGCGGCCAGGCGGCGCUUGUUGGGGCCGAGCGCGGCGGUGUUCCACUCCGCAUCGUCCGG